rnacentral:lncRNA from 1 species
AUGGGUCCUCCAGUGAGCAGACACCAAGCCAGGAGGAAUGGGGCAAGAGACCCAUCGGGGAAGCACCCAUGGCAGAUGGGGAGAGAGCCUCGAGCCAGGAUGCAGAGCCUAGGACCUGUCACCAAGGGGACAGGCCCACAGAGCACCGUGAGGAAGAUGGGAGGCAAGAGCUUGGAAGCACCUGGCAGAGCUCUCUCCUCCUGCCCUGCAACUGCCAGCGUCAGCCCUGGGACCUUGCGGUGCUGCUGCACCUUGCAGCCACGACACAGAGCCCAGCUGCCCAGCAUGGGAAAAACAAGGGCUGGCGUGGAGGAAUUUGUGUUCUCAUCACACACUCAGAAAUUACUUUUUUUAAAAAAGAGCCUGUGUUCGGGGGCCCUUAAAACAAUACGUUGUCUUCUAAAAGUCUGCCUGGGACAGGUUGGAUGUCCUCAUGACCACCUAUUGAAGUAAACGACGCCCCCCAUCCCCAUCACCACGCAGGCUCCUCUCUGCUCCUGCUUCAUUUUGUCUCCUAGCUUGCACUGCCAGUAACACACUCCGGGUUUGACUUAUUUACCUCAUUAUCAUCUCUUCCUGCCCUGACUCCCAGUAGAAUAGAAGCUCAAGGAGGCAGUGCUGUUGCCUGUCUUGUUCACUCCGUAUCCUCAGAACUUCAACUGUGCCUGGCAUGCCAUAGGCACUCUAUAAAUAUUUCUGGAAUGAAUAAAAAAGAUGCUUUCUUCAGAAAAUGGUGAUGCUUUCUCAGCAGGGCUGGAAGGGCGGAUGCUGGCAUCCUCAUUGCUCCUAGAUGCCCUCCUGGCAGGAUCCACCCUGGGCUAGAAUCAGGUGCAGCUCCCUUUUUCAUCCUUACCACAACCUGGGACACCCUGAGACUGGUGGCAGGACCUGCUCUGAGCCGCCCAGCGAGACCUGGGCAAGGUGCCCCCACCCACCUGGGGCUCCCGACUUCCUCUGUGCUCGACCCUGCACCCUCACCUAAGAGCUGAGCAAAAGCUCCAGCCCCACCUUGGACCUGCAGGGACCAGGGGAUGCAUUUGGACCAAGGAUCCAGGUGAAACAAGUGUGCACUGCAGCUUCCCGUGCAAUGCCCUGACAAUGAAUGCACCCUUCUCCCCAGCUAAGCAGAGGGCUUUGCUGAAGCCAUCUUGAUUUUUUCUCCCUGCAGCUACUAAAACAGGCAGCAGUGGCAGCUGAGGGGCGCAGGCCUCAGCAUUACCUCGGAAACCGUGAAGGGCAGACCCAGCAAUUAGCUGAGGAGAGUGGGGAGGCAAGGCAGGCACAGUGGGAAGGCGGAGGAACAGCAGCUGUAAUUGCAGGGUGUGCCAGCCAUGGGGACACGCAGGAGGAGGGCAUUAAGAAGUGGAGGCAACCACCUAUGUGUGAGCUCCUGUCAAGU